UACGUAGGGCGCAAGCGUUGUCCGGAAUUAUUGGGCGUAAAGAGCUCGUAGGCGGCUUGUCACGUCGGGUGUGAAAGCCCGGGGCUUAACCCCGGGUCUGCAUUCGAUACGGGCUGGCUAGAGUGUGGUAGGGGAGAUCGGAAUUCCUGGUGUAGCGGUGAAAUGCGCAGAUAUCAGGAGGAACACCGGUGGCGAAGGCGGAUCUCUGGGCCGAUACUGACGCUGAGGAGCGAAAGCGUGGGGAGCGAACGG
rnacentral:rRNA from 1 species